GACAAGCUCACAGGAAGAAGCAGAGGGUUUGGUUUUGUGACAAUGUCAUCAAAAGCGGAAGUGGAAGCUGCUGAACAACAAUUCAAUGGAUAUGAAAUCGACGGGAGGGCAUUGAGAGUGAACUCUGGGCCAGCACCAGAGAAAAGGGAGAAUUCUUUUGGAGGUGGACGAGGUGGAAGAAGUGAGAAUUCUUCUUAUGGAGGUGCACGAGGUGGGAGAAAUUUUGAUAGCUCCAACAGAGUCUAUGUAGGAAACCUCUCAUGGGGUGUCGAUGACCUUUCACUUAGAGAAUUGUUCAGUGAUCAAGGAAAAGUUGUUGAUUGCAAAGUAGUCUAUGACAGAGAUAGUGGUAGAUCAAGGGGUUUUGGAUUUGUCACAUUCAGUUCUGCUCAAGAGGUCAACAAGGCAAUCGAUAGCUUGAAUGGCUUUGACCUUGAUGGCAGG
rnacentral:misc_RNA from 1 species